GACGAACGCUGGCGGCGUGCUUAACACAUGCAAGUCGAACGGAAAGGCCCUGCUUGGGUGGGGUGCGCGAGUCGCGAACGGGUGAGUAACACGUGAGUAACCUCCCCGUGACUUUGGGAUAACCUCAGGAAACUGGGGCUAAUACCGGAGAGGAGCUCCCUCUGCAGUGGGGGGGGUGGAAAUUUUCGGCGGUUGGGGAUGCACUCGCGGCUUAUGAUCUUGUGGGUGGGGGAGUGGCUUCCCAAGGCUGUGACGGGGAGCGGGCCUGAGAGGGUGACCGGCCACAUUGGGACUGAGAUACGCCCCAGACUCCUACGGGAGGAAGCAGUGGGGAAUAUUGCAAAAUGGGCGGAAGCCUGAUGCAGAACGCCCGGGUGCGGGAUGCCGGCCUUCGGGUUGUAACCCGCUUUGGCCUGUGACGAAGCGUGAGUGACGGUAAUGGGUAAAGAAGCACCGGCUAACUACGUG
rnacentral:rRNA from 1 species